CCUUCACAGGGAAGGAGAGGGGUGGACCUGGAGCAGGGCUGCAGUGCAGUGAACAGGGACUGAAACCAGUAUCACCUGCAAGUGACCUGGAGAUGAUUAGAACUGAAUAUGUAUAUAUCUUUGUUGGAUCGAAUGCCUUGCUGAAUUAGAACUGCCAUACAAAAAACCUAGUAUGCCACCCUUAAGAAAAUACAGUAUGUUACCUCAGUUUCUGGAGUAGGAGACGGCGUAAUGGAACCAAGCGAUCCUUUUCGCGAGCCCUGGAGAUCUGCUGGGAUGGAUACAGGACGUUGCCAUUGAGUU